GACAGAGGGUGCAAACGUUGUUCGGAAUUACUGGGCGUAAAGCGCGUGUAGGCUGUCUUGCAAGUCGGGUGUGAAAGCCCUGGGCUCAACCUAGGAAGUGCACUCGAAACUGCAGGACUCGAGUCCUGGAGAGGAAGGCGGAAUUCUCGGUGUAGAGGUGAAAUUCGUAGAUAUCGAGAGGAACACCGGUGGCGAAGGCGGCCUUCUGGACAGUGACUGACGCUGAGACGCGAAAGCGUGGGGAGCAAACAGG
rnacentral:rRNA from 3 species